rnacentral:pre_miRNA from 1 species
AAGGGACCUGUUCGUAAGAGUUGUGGGUAUGAGACUUUCGGGGAAGUGUUUUUAGCCUUUUGAAGAAACUGCUUACUUCCCGAAACUCCGCAUGCCCACGGUUUUUACGAGCUCCUUUCUCUUC